UCCACUCUGAAAUUAGUCCAAAAGAAAGAUCAAUUAAUCAUCGGUGCCUAAAAACGAACAGUUCAGGCUGCCAGAGUGACUCGCUAUGAUUAAGACUCAGUAUGUCUUUUUCAUUAAGACAUUACUACGUAUGCCGAUAUAAAAGGGAACGUAUCUCUCGUAGGUACAAGUGUAUUAGCGUUGCAAAGUGCGUUUUUCUCCUUUGAUCAACAUCAUGGACAACGAUCGCUAAUCACGAAUGAAUCAUAAAAAUGACAAGUGGCAAAACAAUUUUAUUGUGCUGCAUGCGCACGACACGUGGUGAGAUCGUAAAAAGAGACAAAGAUUAACUGCCGCAAAACGAACUAAUGAACGCGGUGUCACAUCGCGUGAAUUCCAAUUGACGUAUUAAUUCUUAAAACGAUUUUCGUCAUUUACGCUGACACACGGUUAAAGUGUUAACGCGACGUUCGAAUGCAAGGCCAUACAUUUUAUACGUUUCCGCUUCUAAAACUUCGGAAUUAACUGCAAGACUACGCUAAUUUUUUAAAUACACCGCUCGAGGAUAUCCGUUUAGCCUAACCCUGGGUGCGUCUGAAAUUGAUCUAACUUAUCGAGCAAUAUAGACUCCCAUAUCGCUGAGAAACGGAAAGCUCGUAAACAAGAAACCUCGUAAAGCAGGUCUCCGCAUGUGAGGAUCGUUCGUCUCGAAGACAGAAACGAUCGCAAAAACGAUCGAACAAUUACUCGUUCUUGAGCAGAGAGUUAAUAGACCAGUCCUUGUCGACGUUGCUGACGACCGACUCGAAUAUCGUCCAGCAUUCUCAAGGUUGUAACUAACUUUUAACUCAAUUUGUCGACUCAUAAACGUAACCACCGGCGUUGCACAAUAUCAUCGUGUUCAGAUGCGUAGGCAUCGCGAAAUUAUCAUUCCUCCUUACUUUAAAUUGGAGACACGGGCAUUGGAAAUGUGGUAUAGGUAUCAGGAGGUGUAUGAUUUUGAGAAUGUGAGGAGAAGCAAAGAAUAUGGGGACCUAGAUGUCUAGGAACUUAGAGAUAUCUGAUAUAUGAAACGUGGAAUAUGUCGAUGCAGAUAUCAAGAGAUAUGGACAUAUAGGAAUAUAAAGAAUUAGGAAGAAUGUAGAAGGGAGGUCUAAGAAUGUACAAGUGUAGAAGUAUAGGAAUACAAGGAUCUAGAGAACUGGGAAUUUAAAAAUACACUUCGACAAUAUCGUUUCGUGUUAAUAGUACAAGGAUUCGUGAUCGAUGGCCUCGUGAAUUAAUAAAAAUGGAUCUGGCACGUGUGGAUCACACCCUCGAAUCACGACCCACGUUGCUCAUUAUCCUAGACAAUAGACCAAUGAAACUUGAAAAGACGUUACCUCAUCCAGGUCGACCGUGUUGGGACAUCGAAGGGUCGAUGUGACGUAAGGGGUUGACUACGGACUAUAUAAUUAUCUUUAUUGAGAUUGCUGGUGAAGACGAUGUCAAUUAUAGAACACUUGCAGGGAGUAUUAAACGCGAUUUUCGUCUAGUUACGAAACAUCACAUGUUGAACACAUGUACUCAAUGAUCAUGUUUUUCCAUAAUUUUCCACUCGUAUCGAGUAUAAAAAAUAGUACUUUAUGAAGACAUUUGCAUUUAAAUCGCCCUGUUUCUUGCUUUCAUUAUGAAAUUCCGACUGCAUUCUGUUACGGUAAGCUCAAGCGAAAUCAAUUAAGAACGAGUGAAACCGAAAAUGACCAAAUAUGCUAACACAUGUAAUGAUUUUCCUAAUGUGCGCGUAAAAUUUCAGACACGUCUCGCGCAGACGACGUUCGACAGCGUUGACGAAAUAAAUUUGAUUUAACGUCGUAGGAACGUUCGUGAGACAACGUGUAAAACGCAUAACGAUUACCUCGAAAGGAAACCGUGUUUUACCUGCGCUAAAAGCCAACAAUCGUGAACAUCUGACCUCGAGUUAAACGAAAUCGAGCGACCGGUGCGAUUUCAAGAGAAUUCUGAUUGGAUUCCUCCGUUUCUGCAAAAGCGUCUCGAUGCCGCGAUACCGGUCUACGAAACGAUACGAAAUCUCAGAAUGUUUAAACGAGUUACAAUAAUUUUGUUGUUGCCGUUCGAGUUUAUGAUCCGGUUAGCGAAGAGAACUGGCGCGUCUCGCGUAUGUAAGCGGCAGCCAGGGUUCAGGGUUAACAAUAUUUUCGUAUUAUACAAUUAAUUUCUUCGUGCUCCGCAAAAUGAAACAGGUUCUCAUUUCCUUUUCUCGUGUUUCGAAUUCUUCCCCGUAUUUGUACGUUUUAAUAACAUCUUGAUGUAAGAAAAUGUAUAAAGUUGUUCUUGAGUAAUUAUUAGUAUCAAUUGAGCGUGGAUCGAGAAGUGGGUUAUGUCGAGAAAUGUAGGACCAGAAAAUAUGUAUUCGUGACGAAGGUGUGUACUUUAUUUUUAUAGAAAAAUAGACUUUUGCAUGCUUAGGAGUGGUGACAGAACAAUUUCUACCGAUGACAAACGCUAGGUCGAAAGUCUAAGUCAUUCAAGGAACAAAAAGGCGAAAGUAUAAGUGCCGCACGUCGCCGACCUUCCGGACGGAACAAUGGCUUCUAUAGAAGGACACUGAGUGUAGAACGAGUUGACGAAGAAAAAGAAAGUCCUAAAUCCAGAGCUGAAGUACCAUGUCGACUCUGCGAACCUAUUUGGUCCCCACAGCGAAGCACGGUUGAAGUAGCAAGUUGUCGCAGCAAGAAACUUCCUAACUCCAUAUUUCGCCAACUUCAUCAUAACAUCUCGGAGCCAUGUCCGCCGCUUCCUGUAGCACCGGAGAGGACUUGAAAAGGAGAAAAACGCAGGAGAUCCUCUGCGCAAGUAAAGGGCAAGAAGAAUUUGUAUGCGUCGCCGAGGACAUGGCCAAACUAGGCUGAAGUCCGCGGUGCCUUGCAUCUCCCUCGAUGGAAUCGCAAAAACCGCGUGCCGAGUAAAAGAGAAGCAAUUUCAAGGGAUGGACACGGAGGGAAGCUGUCGCCUGCUCGUCGAGCAUCUUCAACAAGAAGAAGUUUAAUUUGAGAAAAUGUCGCUAAAGAUCGAGCGAAGGGGUACCGUGACAAAGAGGAGUUUGUGUAGCAGGAAUUCCUGGUAAUCGUGCCGUAAAUGAUUCACCGGCAUCGCGUAUGCAACUUUAAUACCAUUUCGCAUUCAAAGCGUUACAUCCCUGAAACGAGGCACCCUACCAAGCACAUUCCAACCGCGGGACACACCUGUGGACAUUUGUCCGUGCCGUAUGCACGCGUAACUGUAUAACGGACUGAUGCUGGAAUUCUCUGAAUUUUAUAGAAUUCGUUCUCGUUAACAUGCAGAUAAAGUUGCUUAGGAAAUGACUUGUAUUGACAAGGUUAGAUAAGGUUAACAAGGUUAAUGUAAAACAAGAUCUUGUUAGAAAGUAAGAAAGCAGUAUAGUGGAUCAUAUAUUAAGAAAGUGUAAAGUACAGUGAAUACAUAUUUCCAAUGGAAUCUUGUCGGGUUGAACAAUAUUAAUAAUCCAAUAAAAUAUAAUUAGACGACAGAUUUAUUUUAACCAUUAAAUGCAUGAUUUUCUAAUUUUACCAAAAGUUAUCAACUAACAAAAUACUUUGAAAGCGGUCGAUUCAAAUUAAAACGAACAGAGGACGCUAUUGUGUAUUUGAUUGGUACGUGGCAUAUUGCAACACCACUCAUUGCAGGUUUCCUACAUUUUGUAUAUAAUUUAUAAGAUUAAAACUGGUAUGCUGCAUUUAUACAACCAUAUGCAUUUAAGGGUUAAACAGACAAUAAACAUUGUAAGACCUCAAGGUGAUUCAUAAAAAAAAUAUGUUAAUCGAGUCGAAAAGGACAAUUAAGCCCGGCAGUGGCAAAAACCAUUGGAAGGAAGAUUUUCGUCGCGAACAAAGCUGGUUGCGAAGAAGGUCCGGCAAAAAGGGGUAACCAAGGGGUAAAAAACAGAGGGGGAACAGCAAGUGGAAAGGUCCGGCGAAGAAGAUGGAUAAGGUUCGGAAGCAAUGACAUUCGUUUCGCGUGCUGACGCCCCAACUAUACCGUAGAUGGUAGCGCGGCGGAGUGUCGAACGUCCGAAAAUGGCCGGUGAUUCCUUCGACGUUGGACUACCGUGGAUUUAAUACGGGGACCGUGGUCGAUGGAACGCUCGCUAUGGCGAGAUCGUGCCCUGAUUUAUGUCGUGGUGCGAGCAAUCCGAAGGCCAAGGUCCUCGUCCACCUACUAUGGUCAGGAUGACAUUUCGAGUCGCGACGCGACGUACGCGUAAAUCGUGCCGCGAGUUUAUUCGCUCCAUGAGAAUUCCGCGAACGACGUGGUUAAAUCUAAACUCAAGCCCUGACGUUUGAUAAAAAAUUUUUACCUACGGACUGAUGAUAAUAUCGACUUUAAAUCUUAAUUAGAAGGAUGCAAUUAUACGGUACAUAGUUUAGUCUUCUCCAAAGAUGAAUAAAAAUAAUUUUGUACAGAAAGUUUGAUGAAUCGAACAUACUAUGAAGUGUGUACUAUUUACGUGUUAGUAUUACAUACAGUCUUGAUAUGAAUUUUUGCGGAGUGUAUGCAUGUUUGUAAAACGAUAUGAUAAUGAGUUCUUUUCGGGGUUGGGUUCGAUCACCAAUAAUGCAGUCACGGUACAGUUGCAGUUUGCGCAAAUGUCAUUGAAGGUUUCUCAAACGAACCGUAACAGUAUCGUGACUAGACCGUCGGUAUUCUACUAUGUUACGCGACAUUUGGUAUACCCUCGUAAUUCCUGCUCGUGCUGCUACUAAGCACGUUCAAAUCAAAUUAGACGGAAAUUUAAUUGUAUCAGCGUGAUUCAACGAAACGAACCUCGACAUGCGACUCCCGUCUCUUCCGCGAAGAGACCGUUUUGAGAAAUCUUGAUCGUACCACCGAUCUACUUUGUCAUUAUUGAAAUCGUCAGAAUGAGAUCUUCCAAAAGUGCCAAGGUUACUGCUCUCUGAUUUUAUGUCUCAAGUGUUUUUUCAAGAAAUCUUAUUUCAGUCUCCCGAUUACGGGUGCUCGAGUUUUCAAUAGGUUAAAGUGGAAACACGAAGCAAACGAGGCUAACGUGUUUCCUGUUGAGAACAAGCGCUUUCGUAACUUCAUACUUAUGCUAAUAAUUGAACAAGUACAAAAAUUUCGUGUAAAAUUCGGUUGCAUAUUUGGUCUCAGAAUAAUGUUGCAGCGAAAAAUGCAGCUGUCGUAAUAAACUUGGAAUCAUGGGUAGAAAGUGUCGAAUAUUUUAGAAUUCAAAGUAUUCUAAUGAUCGUAAAAUUGAACAGUAAAAGUUUUAAAGCAUGGACAAUGAUAAAUUCGAGUCGUAUUGAGCCGAGAAUUUCUCUAUACUUGAACGGCGGUUAAAUUUCCAUCUCCCCGGUUUUAGCGAAGUGUAUGUUCAACGAGUAAGCGUGUUUGCUCUGAGCAAACAGUGAAAGAGAGAGUAUAAUUGACCCACGUGUAGCUCGCGGUUCGCGUAAAAGGCUUUCCAAAUUCUUACAUCUUAUCGAACUUGUUAUUCUCUGCUCUGUUUCAUUUUUACGUAAAAUCUCCUGUGUAAAAUAUUUACAAAAUUAUAUACAUCUAACGUUCGUGGAAUAAAUUAAAAUCAUUCAAUUAACUCGGGAAGCUGUAAGCUUACAUAUAAUACUGUAGAAAUGUAAAUGAGUCUUCUCGGUAUUAAUAAAAAAGGCAUCAUGUUAAUUCGUACGCUUAAUAAAAAAUGGAAGGAAAGGAACUUUA